UUGCCUGUUGCCAGGUAACUGUGGAGGUGGAGCUUAGACAGAAUGCCAACAGAAAAUAUCUCUAAUGCCAACAAAAUACCAUUUAUACUGAUAGAAUGAUGAAAUCCUACCUUUGAGGUACAACCUCACCCCUCAUCCCACAAGUGCACACACAGACAAAGGAAGAGGAAGAGAGAAAGAAAUGGAGGAGAAGCAUGGAGAAAAAAGGUGAGAUGGAGACCAGGAGAAGAGGAGAAGGACGGGGCAAGAGGUGUCAUAUCUGUAUGCUCUACCCUCCACUGAGAUGGAGACCAGGAGGUGUCCUCCACUGAAUCCCUCUGUAGCUUCCUGUCGUCCAUAAAAACUGAACGUGGACCAGAUCAGUCCCCACCCAUUUCCCAGCCCCUCCCCUCUCUCCUUGUGCUUCUCCAUCCACAGCAUCAAGUGCACACAGGCAGAACUCUUUUCUGCCUCAGGACCUAUGCACCCUCAUCUCGAUGAACUCAUGCAGUUUCUCCAGAAGGGUAGACGUUGUCCUGUCUCAACUCCAAGGCUUUCUUUCCUACAAUAGUUACUUUAUAUUUAAUCAUCCGUCCGGGUGUUUCUUUUUAUCAUCCAUCCCCUUUUCCCUUAUUCUGAUCAGUGUUCAACGGUGUCCAUGAUGAGCAAGCUGGGCAUGGAUGUACAUAUCCGUAACCUCAGGAAUUAUGGGAUUGAAGCCAGCUGAAGGUUCCAAGAAGGUUCAAGGCUAUCUUCGCCAUAUAGCAAGAUAUUGUCCACAGAAAUGAAAGGGGAGGGAGAAACGAGUGGGGGAGGGGGAAAGUACAAGAGAAGACAGGGGGGAAGGGGAGGGAGAAGGUGACAGGAGAGGUAAGCAGCCAGUGAAGCACCAAGCCCUCUGUCCUUUUCUCCCCAACAGCCCCACUGAAGACAAUCUUCUAACUAUGAAGAGAAGCGCUUCACUCUUGCUGAGCCCUGGCCAGACACAGCUUUCUGCAAUAUUCACAGACCUCUCUGAUCUCCAUGGACUCUGUAUGCCCAGUGCCCUGUGUGGCUGUUACCCUACAGGGGUCCUGCAAGGCUCUGUAGACAUCUUGGCCCAGUUAGAACCAGUGGUUGGGGAUUUCUGGGUAGAAGUCACCUUGUGUUCAAACCACCCUGCUUGCCAAGGUGCUAAACAUUACACCGAAGCUGCUUGGGGACCACGGUCUGACACAGUGCAGUUCUGUUCCCAUUCAGGGCAAUGGGAUGGGGAGGUAGCCACCCAGUGAGGGAGAGGUACACGCUGGUCAUGUGCUGGAGGACCUCCCCAGCCUGCAGUCUGUGUUGUGCGUGCACAGAGGCUCCACUCUUGUUCCAAAGUCCCAACCAGCCUCCGGUUUGUUGUUGGAACUGGAGCUGGUGAUUUGCUUUAAAUAGGCCCUGCACAGGCCUCAGUCUGUUUUUUUUAUUUUAUUUUAUUUUUUUUAUUGAAUGAGUCCUGAAGGUGCUUUCCAAGAAAUAAGGAAAAACCAACCUUACAGUGGGGACUCUGAGCUGAAAGGAAGGUGGCAGAGCCUUUCCCUGCAGCUGGAAGGCUGUAGCCAUGCAAAGUGUGGCCUGGGAGGCAGAAGGCUUGAUAGGAGUCUUCAGGGAGCCACGGAGCCCAUGGAGGGCAAGCCUCUCUCUCUCAAGCAUGGGACACUGCAAUCUGCAGCACUGUUAUGUGCUUCUGGGCACACAAGGAGGACCACACGCGUGUUUCAUGAACAUUCUGAGCUGGUGAGCAAAGAGCCUCUGAGAUCAGGAUAUAGCUGCCUCUCCAGGACCACGUCUGCCUGUUGCCAUGCUCCCUGGUGUGAUGAUAAUAGACAUUGUAAGCCAGCCCCCCCCAGCCUUUCACAUCAUUCCUCCUCCCCACAGCCCCUCAGCUCUGAGCAUCCGCAGUUCUUCCUUAUCUGUUUAGCUCUGACCUCACCGUUUGGUUUUGGAGAGCUGGAGCUUCUGGCUACUCCUUUCAUCAGCAGAGAUUUCUCCUCCCCCUGUUCUCCCUAGCCCACCGUGUCCACGAUUUAAGUACCGCCGUGCACCUCACUACCUCGGGGAAAACUCUUCUCCCAGGUUUCUGCAGGUUUCUCCCAAGUUUCUGUGUUGUAUGGAAGGGCUGUGUGUUGUGUGAAACUUUCCCUACGGAGACCACGUGCACACACACAAACACACCUGCUCGCCCCAGAUAGGGAACCCACGAUAGGCCAAAGGAAUAACUACACCAAAGUCCAGCUUGUUGAACCAGUGAGUUUACUGGGCUUACUAACAGGAGUGUGUGUGAAGGGUUACUUACAGGAGCAUGGAUGAGUUGAAGGUAUCUGUACCGCUGAGAGCCCAUCCCAGCAUGGGUGAUGACCCAGGAAGGCUUGACCCUGGGGCUGUUUUCAGGGCUUGCGGGCGCCUCUGUGGACUGGAGAAGCUUUUCCAGGCAGUCUUUCAGAUCAGAAUCCACUCCCCUGUCAGCUGUUUGCUGCUUCUGUGAUACCGGGGAGGCCUUCCUGAAUCUUGUGAGUGAAAGCGUCAAUCCGUACACUGUUAUACGCAAC
rnacentral:sRNA from 1 species